rnacentral:rRNA from 1 species
UACGAAGGGGGCUAGCGUUGCUCGGAAUGACUGGGCGUAAAGGGCGCGUAGGCGGAUUGCUUUGUCGGGCGUGAAAUUCCAGGGCUUAACCUUGGGGCUGCGUUCGAGACGGGUGAUCUUGAGUUCGGAAGAGGGUCGUGGAAUUCCCAGUGUAGAGGUGAAAUUCGUAGAUAUUGGGGAGAACACCGGUGGCGAAGGCGGCGACCUGGUCCGAGACUGACGCUGAGGCGCGAAAGCGUGGGGAGCAAACAGG